AAUUUUCCGCACUGGGGGAAAGCCCGAGGGAGCAAUAAAAGCGUGAGGGAGAAAGGCUCCUGGGUUGUAAACCUCUUUUUUUCACAGGAAGAACACAAUGACGGUACCGGAGAAUAAGCAUCGGCUAACUCCGUGCCAGCAGCCGCGGUAAUACGGAGGAUGCAAGCGUUAUUCGGAAUGAUUGGGCGUAAAGCGUCCGCAGGCGGUUAUGCAAGUCUGAGGUGAAAGAGCGAGCUCACUCCAUGAGGGCAGUGUGAUACUGCCAGUUUGAGUCGUGAAGGGUUGAGGGAAUUUCUGGGGUAAGAGGGAAAAGUGUAGAAAUCAGGAAGGACACCCAGGGGGAAGGCGGUCUCAUAGGCCGUAUACGGCAGUGAGGGAGGAAAGGUAAGGGAGGGAAUGGGAAUAGAUACCCCAGUAAUCUUACGCGUA
rnacentral:rRNA from 1 species